ensembl:Y_RNA Y_RNA Y RNA
GGCUGGUCCAAGUGCAGUGGUGUUUACAACUAAUUGCUCACAACCUGUUACAUAUUUCUCUGUUCCUUCUCCACUCCCACUGCUUCACUUUACUACCCUAAU